rnacentral:misc_RNA from 1 species
GAUGAAGAACGUAGUGAAAUGCGAUAAGUAAUGUGAAUUGCAGAAUUCAGUGAAUCAUCGAAUCUUUGAACGCAUCUUGCGCUCCUUGGUAUUCCUUGGAGCAUGCCUGUUUGAGUAUCAUGAGCAAACCUCAAAGUCAAUUCCUUUUGUUAAUUCAAUUGGUUUUGCUUUGGACUUGGAGGUCUUGCAGAUUUCACAGUCUGCUCCUCUUAAAUGCAUUAGCUGGAUCUCAGUACUUAUGCUUGGUUCCACUCGGCGUGAUAAGUAUCACUCGCUGAGGACACUGUUAAAAAGGUGGCCAGGAAAAUACUGAUUGAACCGCUUCUAACGGUCUAUUAAGUUAGACAAUUACCCUUAAGUUUGAUCUCAAAUCAGGUAGGACUACCCGCUGAACUUAAGCAUAUCAAUAAGCGGAGGA